GACGAACGCUGGCGGCGUGCUUAACACAUGCAAGUCGAACGGAAAGGCCCUGCUUUUGUGGGGUGCUCGAGUGGCGAACGGGUGAGUAACACGUGAGUAACCUGCCCUUGACUUUGGGAUAACUUCAGGAAACUGGGGCUAAUACCGGAUAGGAGCUCCUGCUGCAUGGUGGGGGUUGGAAAGUUUCGGUGGUUGGGGAUGGACUCGCGGCUUAUCAGCUUGUUGGUGGGGUAGUGGCUUACCAAGGCUUUGACGGGUAGCCGGCCUGAGAGGGUGACCGGCCACAUUGGGACUGCGAUACGGCCCAGACUCCUACGGGAGGCAGCAGUGGGGAAUAUUGCACAAUGGGCGGAAGCCUGAUGCAGCAACGCCGCGUGCGGGAUGACGGCCUUCGGGUUGUAAACCGCUUUCGCCUGUGACGAAGCGUGAGUGACGGUAAUGGGUAAAGAAGCACCGGCUAACUACGUG
rnacentral:rRNA from 1 species